rnacentral:rRNA from 1 species
UAAUGUAUGGGGAUCUGCCCGAUAGAGGGGGAUAACUACUGGAAACGGUGGCUAAUACCGCAUAAUGUCUACGGACCAAAGCAGGGGCUCUUCGGACCUUGCACUAUCGGAUGAACCCAUAUGGGAUUAGCUAGUAGGUGGGGUAAAGGCUCACCUAGGCGACGAUCUCUAGCUGGUCUGAGAAGAUGAUCAGCCACACUGGGACUGAGACACGGCCCAG